rnacentral:lncRNA from 1 species
CUUCUUUUGUUUGUCUACAAUUACUUUGAAUGGUAAGCUAAUCAAAUCUUUAUUUCUCCUUCGUUUCUACAAUCCUUAUUUCACAUACUUCAUAUAACAUGCCUUUGAUGUAGAUUUUUUUCUUUCCUUUGAUUACUGAAAACGUUGAUCUUAUUUGUUGUGCGACAGGUUUAAUCAGUUCCAAUAGAUAUGAAAAGAAGAGGUUUUCAUUUAUACACCCCUGAUGUAAGACUCUUUGUCAGUUUAGUGUGUCUACAAGUGAUAAUGGUCAAAUGGGUGAAUUUGCUGAUCUCCACAAUCAACUCUGCAAGAAUGUUGAAAAAAACGGAAGCCUUAUUAAGUGUUUGAGAAAGUAAAUGAAAGGGUAGUUUCUUAUCCUGUUGUUCUUCGAAUUCUCUUAAUAACUGAUUUUCUCAUAAGUCAUGUUUAUCGGUAACAAGAAACGUGUGGUUAUAAUAUAUUUUUCCUUUAAUUUGCAAGCAUGUCUUGAUUUGUUUUCCUUGAGAUUUUGAGUUGUUGCAACAUUAAGUUGUAUAGUAGAUCACCAUCAAUCUGAAUCUACUACUCAAAUUGGUUGUCCUCUUUUAACUCUUGAGAAAUGUAGCAUCGUAUUUCAUUUUCUUAAUUUCUUUCAAUCCCUAUAUGCCCUUUUUUUGUUACUCUAGAGAGAUUUAUGUAUUAGAAUGAGUGUUGGUUAACAUGUGGUUAGUUCAUUUUGAUUUUAUCUUGUCUUGAUUUCUUAAAGCUGCAGUUCAGAUUAACUAAUCAACAAUAACUAUCGGGACCAGUGAUUUGAUCUUUCGGAAAAGAGUACCUCUACCUCCACGAGGUAAUGAUAAGAUAUGUUGUUGUUUGAACUCUAUUGAUUUGUAUAAUCUCUUCCUCAUUCUACUACUUAACUAUCACUAAGACUUCAGAGUCUUAAGUAUUGUUCAUGUUUAUUACCUACUUUACUGUUCUACAAGUGAUUUUGUUCCAAAAUUAAGUACACUAAUAUGGAUGAAGCUGUGGAUAAAAAUGGUAUUGGGAAGAGAGGACAACAAAACAGGAAGUGAGAUGAGAGGGACGACAAAAUGGAAAGGGAAAGAUAGACAAAAUAAAAGGUCAUUUUCUAUAAAGUUUUACCAAUUUACUCUCUAACAAUUUCUUUUUGGUUA